rnacentral:tRNA from 1 species
UGGGGAUUCGUCUAGUGGUAGGACGGCAGACUCUGGAUCUGCAAGCCGUGGUUCGAAUCCACGAUCCCCAGCCA